rnacentral:rRNA from 1 species
AACGCUGGCGGCGUGGCUAAGGCAUGCAAGUCGGACGGACCUUUCUCAUUGGGUAACCGAAGGGAAAGGUUAGUGGCGGACGGGUGAGUAAUACGUGGGUAACGUACCUCGAGCAUGGGGAUAGCGGCGUUCCUUCGGGAACUUUAGCGAAAGUGCCGGUAAUGCCCAAUGACAUCGGAUGGUCGCAUGGCCGACCGAUCAAAGGAUGGGGAUCCUUCGGGACCUAUUGGCUCGGGAGCGACCCACGGCCUAUCAGCUUGUUGGUGAGGUAACGGCUCACCAAGGCAUCGACGGGUAGCGGGCGUGAGAGCGUGGCCCGCCACAUCGGGACUGAGACACUGCCCGGACACCUACGGGUGGCUGCAGCAACGAAUAAUCCGCAAUGGGCGCAAGCCUGACGGUGCGACGCCGCGUGCAGGAUGAAGCCUUUCGGGGCGUAAACUGCUGUCGAGGGUAGGCAAGCAAUGGACUCUAACAGAGUCCGGCGCUGAGCCGCCCCCAAGGAAGCCUCGGCUAACUCCGUGCCAGCAGCCGCGGUAAUACGGAGGAGGCAAGCGUUGUUCGGAAUUAUUGGGCUUAAAGAGCGUGUAGGCGGGCCGGUCAGUGUCGAGUGAAAGCCCUCGGCUCAACCGAGGAAUGGCUCGGCAUACUGCCGGUCUUGAGGCAGGUAGGGGCGGGUGGAACUCUAGGUGGAGCGGUGAAAUGCGUAGAUAUCUAGAGGAACGCCGGUGGCGAAAGCGACCCGCUGGGCCUGUUCUGACGCUGAGACGCGAAAGCGUAGGGAGCAAACGGGAUUAGAUACCCCGGUAGUCUACGCCGUAAACGAUGCGCACUAGGUUCGAGGACUUCUGACGGUGCUCGGGCCGAAGCAAAAGUGUUAAGUGCGCCGCCUGGGGAGUACGGCCGCAAGGCUGAAACUCAAAGGAAUUGACGGGGGCUCACACAAGCGGUGGAGCAUGUGGAUCAAUUCGAAGCAACGCGAAGAACCUUACCUGGGUUUGACAUGCUUGGAUGCCCUCUGGGAAACCGGAGUAAGCUGCCUUCGGGUGAAAUUUGCACAGGUGCUGCAUGGCUGUCGUCAGCUCGUGCUGUGAAGUGUCGGGUUAAGUCCCUUAACGAGCGAAACCCUUGUCGCUAGUUGCCAGCGGGUCAUGCCGGGGACUCUAGCGAGACUGCCGGGUCAAACCGGAGGAAGGUGGGGAUGACGUCAAGUCCUCAUGGCCUUUACACCCAGGGUUUCGCACGUGCUACAAUG